rnacentral:lncRNA from 1 species
AAGAAGUCAGGAGUAGUUUGUCUGAUGGUAUUGGGAUCUGCUUUGCAAUUGCCAAGCGCUAAGGCACAAGCUGGCAGAUGUGCUGCGGCUCUGCUACGGGCGGCUCUGUCGCCUUCAGUCGCAGGCUGGUUCUUUGGGGGAAAGUUGUAUCCAAUAUUGGUGACUCCCGGGAAUAGUCUGUUUGUGUGCUACUUAAUGGUCUCUAGGCUUCCUUGUCUUGUAGAACCUUGUUAGAAAGGAGCCUUGGUGAUUAAGAGGCUAUGGAGUACACAGCCUUGCUUAGCAGAUGAGCCCUUAUCCAUUUCCCGUUUCCUUAAAAACGGCUAAUUGAUGGAUGCUGCAGAAAACAUGCACUCUGCUAAUAAGAUGCUGAUGACAAAAUAGGUAUCAGGAAAGGCAUUUACUGCUUAUGAGCACCAUCAGCUUUCUUUCGAGUGAGAUUGUGGCUUUGUAGUAAAGUUUUUUUUUAAGUAAUAUGCUAAUAGUUUUAUUCUAAAUCGGCCAGCGCUGAAUAUCUUCAGGAAAAUGGGUUCCAUGAGAAGUGACAUCCUCCUCGAAUCAAAAGAUUCUCAGGAUGAUGGAGUGAGUGAUGGAAUAGGUUGCCAACUGUAGUUACUCCACUCAGCACAGAAUGGCUGCGGGGAAAUAUAAUCAGACAUGCCCAAAGAAGUCUGCUUAGGGUGAAACAAAUACCUUUGAGGUUUAAAUCAGAAAGGAAGGAGAGACUGUUUCUACAGGUGUCAUACAAAAAUCAAUACUGAGCCAAGGAUUAUUGGAUCCCAUAGAACCACGGAGACUUGGUAGUGAAAUUCUUCCAAAGCAUUCCAUCCGUGCAGGCAGAUGGUGUUCCUAGGUUUGGAAAUAUAAAUCCCAUGGGAAGUCAGCUGAAGACCAUUUUAUGCAUCACUCAUCCUGUUAGAGCCCUGUGCUGUUCUGUCUCUCUAUAAGACUGGCUGAAACCACCACGGUUGUUUACAAUUUAUGCUCUAACUUUGGAUCACCUAGUUAAUACUCUAACUCCGAUUAUUACCAAAGACAAUGUUCUAUAAAAGAUAUUGUCUAUUAGAAGGAUGCUUCUGCAUUAUUAAUAAAAUCACAGGGAAAAUGCAACAUUUUGGAUGUCACAUCUGAUAAGUGGGUGACUGAUCGUACCCGCCAGCUGGCUAAUGUCAUAAUUAACAAAGUUGCUACUACAUCUGCAAAGUUUAAUCGAAAAAUUUGCCAGUGAUAUGAUGGCCUUGUCACAGAGAUCACAAGGGACACGGAGUUGACUUUUGCUCAAGGUGGAACGACAGAGCUGUGUAGGCAAGAUGAGAAAUUGCGAACUUGUUCGGCCAAAGGAACGACUAUGCUCUGGAGAGUCCUGUAAUUUGCAGAAAAUGGACCAAGAUAACAUUUGAGUUCCAUGCUACCAAAAUCCUCUUGAGAAGGACAGCUAGCUACCCAGAAUAUUUAACAUUGUGACAUUGAAAUGUUGGAUGAACGAUUAAAAUGAAGAAUCUAGUCAUAGGUUGUAAGAAAUCGCUAAAUUAUUAUGUUUAAUCCAAA